rnacentral:sRNA from 1 species
AAGUAAAAUGCAGACUUAUCAACUCCCCCAAACUUAGUCUUUGCUUGCCCUCAAGUAGACAAUUAAGAACAAGCUGGAGGUGAGGUUUGAAGUUAGGGACUCAUAACC